UUGGUGUUCCACGAAGUGCUCCACGAGGUCCGCCUGAAGCGCCAUAGGGCGGUCUUUCUCAAGUUGGACUUCCACAAAGCCUACGACACGGUGCACUGGCCGUUCCUGAGGGAAGUCCUUCUUCGCAAGGGCUUCGAUGACCGUUGGGUGACCCGAGUCAUGCAGCUCGUCUCUUGUGGUCGGACUGCGGUGAACAUCAACGGCGACAUUGGGCCCUUCUUCCCUACCCUCUGCGGGGUCCGGCAGGGAGAUCCCUUCUCGCCGUUCUUGUUCAACAUGGUUGUGGAUGCCUUGGCCGCCAUCUUGGAUAAGGCCAAGGCUGCUGGGCAUAUUAGAGGCCUUGUCCCGCACCUUGUUGGAGGGGGAGGGGUCUCCCUUCUACAAUACGCGGAUGACACCAUUAUUAUGGUCGAGGGGUCUGCCUUAGAGAUCUCCAACCUGAAGUUCCUUCUUUUGUGCUUCCAACAAAUGUCGGGCCUCACCAUCAACUUUGAUAAGAGCGAAGUGAUGGUGCUCGGUUACCCCUCUGAGGACGCACAGUCCAUUGCCGACCGGCUUAACUGUCGGCUGGGUUCUUUCCCCACGACCUAUCUGGUGAUCCCCAUUAGUGACUCGCGCCUCACCGUGGCGGACCUCCGCCCCACGGUGACCCGUAUGCAACAUCGCGUAGAGCCCUGGAAAGGGCGUUGGCUAUCGAAGGCGGCGCGCGUGAUCCUUAUCAACUCAUCGCUAGCCAGCCUCCUGUGGUUCCUUAUGAGCUUCUAUAGCCUUCAUGAAACGCUCCAUCAGGAGGUCGCCAAAUACCAGUCCAGAUUCUUCUGGGCUGGGGAGGAGGGCAAGCAGAAAUACCACAUGGUCAGCUGGCCAGACAUCUGCAAACCCAAAGACCAGGGCGGUCUUGGG
rnacentral:rRNA from 1 species